GAGCUGUCCGCGGUGCUGAAACGCCGCUGCUGCUGCUGCUGUUAAUGCUAUUAUUGCUGCUGCACGAGACGGAGCUCCGCGCGCUCCUCCCGUCCUUCUCUCUCUCUUCAUCAAACCCUCCACAUCCGACCACAGCUCACCCCGAACACACCCCCGGACCCGCCCCUUCAACACCGGCCACGCCUUCCUCCGGGGUCCCACGCCACGGCGCUGGCGCCUGCUCGCUCGCGCCGCUCUGGGAAAGUGCUUGAACAGGAGGACGGACGCGCUGCGCGGGGUGAGCGCGAGCCCAGCGGCGGAAAAAAGGCACGAGCACGAUCGCGCGUUACACGGCGAACAUGGUCAGCGUGGCGCUGGCCGUACUGGCCGUACUGGCCGUGGUGGUCUCGGCACGCGGGCAAGGAACUCUCAGCAGGCCGAGAAAGUACAAAUCUCCUCAGUUUGAUUCAGGGCUGUAGUCUUGACAGUCAGAGUAAAUAAAAAGAUGUGGAAGAGCUCCACUUCCUCUCUCUCUACCCUUUAGGAUUUACAC
ensembl:lncRNA